CAAAAUGUAGCUUAUGCCAAAGCAUCUGACUUACACUCAGAAGAAUUCAUAUAAUGAACGUUUUGA
rnacentral:tRNA from 1 species